rnacentral:misc_RNA from 1 species
UCACACCUUGCGGUGGCAGUGUCUCCAGAGUGCCCAGCAUUACCUGAUGGCAACUGAAGAGAGGGGUUGCGCUCGUUAUGGCACUUAAGCCGACACCUCACGGCACGAGCUGACGACAACCAUGCAGCACCUCCACCAGCGCCCCGAAGGGCCUCAUCAUCUCUGAAUCGUUCGCUGGCAGUUCAAGCCCGGGUAAGGUUCCUCGCGUAUCAUCGAAUUAAACCACAUGUUCCUCCGCUUGUGCGGGCCCCCGUCAAUUCCUUUGAGUUUCACCGUUGCCGGCGUACUCCCCAGGUGGGAUGCUUAACGCUUUCGCUUGGCCACUCCAUCCAAUAGACGGAACAGCGGGCAUCCAUCGUUUACCGUGCGGACUAC